UCGUAGGGGGCAAGCUUGUCCGGAUUUAUUGGGCGUAAAGAGCGUGUGAGGCGGUUUUACAAGUCCGCUGUGAAAACUCGAGGCUCAACCUCGAGCUGUCGGUGGAAACUGUAAGGCUAGAGUCCGGAAGAGGAGAGUGGAAUUCCCGGUGUAGCGGUGAAAUGCGCAGAUAUCGGGAAGAACACCCGUGGCGAAGGCGGCUCUCUGGGACGGUACUGACGCUGAGACGCGAAAGCGUGGGGAGCGAAC
rnacentral:rRNA from 1 species